rnacentral:rRNA from 1 species
AGGAAGGACCGGAGUGGACGCAUCACUGGUGUUCGGGUUGUCAUGCCAAUGGCACUGCCCGGUAGCUAAAUGCGGAAGAGAUAAGUGCUGAAAGCAUCUAAGCACGAAACUUGCCCCGAGAUGAGUUCUCCCUGACUCCUUGAGAGUCCUGAAGGAACGUUGAAGACGACGACGUUGAUAGGCCGGGUGUGUAAGCGCAGCGAUGCGUUGAGCUAACCGGUACUAAUGAACCGUGAGGCUUAACCUU